rnacentral:rRNA from 2 species
GAUUAGAGUUUGAUCCUGGCUCAGGAUGAACGCUGGCGGCGUGCUUAACACAUGCAAGUCGAACGAUGAUCUCCAGCUUGCUGGGGGGAUUAGUGGCGAACGGGUGAGUAACACGUGAGUAACCUGCCCUUGACUCUGGGAUAAGCCUGGGAAACUGGGUCUAAUACCGGAUACGACCGCUCCACGCAUGUGGUGGUGGUGGAAAGCUUUUGCGGUUUUGGAUGGACUCGCGGCCUAUCAGCUUGUUGGUGGGGUAAUGGCCUACCAAGGCGACGACGGGUAGCCGGCCUGAGAGGGUGACCGGCCACACUGGGACUGAGACACGGCCCAGACUCCUACGGGAGGCAGCAGUGGGGAAUAUUGCACAAUGGGCGGAAGCCUGAUGCAGCGACGCCGCGUGAGGGAUGACGGCCUUCGGGUUGUAAACCUCUUUCAGUAGGGAAGAAGCGUAAGUGACGGUACCUGCAGAAGAAGCGCCGGCUAACUACGUGCCAGCAGCCGCGGUAAUACGUAGGGCGCAAGCGUUAUCCGGAAUUAUUGGGCGUAAAGAGCUCGUAGGCGGUUUGUCGCGUCUGCUGUGAAAGACCGGGGCUCAACUCCGGUUCUGCAGUGGGUACGGGCAGACUAGAGUGAUGUAGGGGAGACUGGAAUUCCUGGUGUAGCGGUGAAAUGCGCAGAUAUCACGAGGAACACCGAUGGCGAAGGCAGGUCUCUGGGCAUUAACUGACGCUGAGGAGCGAAAGCAUGGGGAGCGAACAGGAUUAGAUACCCUGGUAGUCCAUGCCGUAAACGUUGGGCACUAGGUGUGGGGGACAUUCCACGUUUUCCGCGCCGUAGCUAACGCAUUAAGUGCCCGCCUGGGGAGUACGGCCGCAGGCUAAACUCAAGGAUUGACGGGGCCCGCACAGCGCGAGCAUGCGA